CAGCAGCGCGGUAAUACGAAGGGUGCAAGCGUUACUCGGAAUUACUGGGCGUAAAGCGUGUGUAGGUGGUUGUUUAAGUCUGUCGUGAAAGCCCUGGGCUCAACCUGGGAAUUGCGAUGGAUACUGGGCGACUAGAGUGCGGUAGAGGAUAGUGGAAUUUCCGGUGUAGCAGUGAAAUGCGUAGAGAUCGGAAGGAACAUCUGUGGCGAAGGCGACUAUCUGGGCCAACACUGACACUGAGACACGAAAGCGUGGGGAGCAAACAGGAUUAGAUACCCGCGUAGUCCCUGUCUCUUAUACA
rnacentral:rRNA from 1 species